GUGCUCACUCUGGCAGCAUAUAUACUAAAACUGGAGUGAUACAGAGAUUGGCAUGGCCUCUGCACAAGGAUGACAUGCAAAUCUGUGAAGUGCCCCACAUUUUA
ensembl:snRNA U6 U6 spliceosomal RNA